GACGAACGCUGGCGGCGUGCUUAACACAUGCAAGUCGAACGGUAAGGCCCUUCGGGGUACACGAGUGGCGAACGGGUGAGUAACACGUGGGUGAUCUGCCCUGCACUUCGGGAUAGGCCUGGGAAACUGGGUCUACUACCGGAUAGGACCACUGCCUGCAUGGGUGGUGGGGGAAAGCUUUUGCGGUGUGGGAUGGGCCCGCGGCCUAUCAGCUUGUUGGUUGGGUGAUGGCCUACCAAGGCGACGACGGGUAGCCGGCCUGAGAGGGUGACCGGCCACACUGGGACUGAGAUACGGCCCAGACUCCUACGGGAGGCAGCAGUGGGGAAUAUUGCACAAUGGGCGCAAGCCUGAUGCAGCGACGCCGCGUGAGGGAUGACGGCCUUCGGGUUGUAAAUCUCUUUCAGCACCGACGAAGCGCAAGUGACGGUAGGUGCAGAAGAAGGACCGGCCAACUACGUGCCAGCCGCCGCGGUAA
rnacentral:rRNA from 1 species